rnacentral:pre_miRNA from 1 species
CCAGGAGGUUGAGGCUCUAGUGAGCUAUGAUCGUGCCAUUGCACUCCAGUCUGAGCAACAGAGUGAGAUCUUGUCUCUAAUAAAUAAAAAUUUAAAAAAAAAAUUUUUUUUGAGACAGAGUCUCACUCUUGUUGCCCAGGCUGGAGUGCAAUGGCAUGAUCUCGGCUCACUGCAACCUCUGCCUCCUGG